UACGAAGGGGGCUAGCGUUGCUCGGAAUUACUGGGCGUAAAGGGCGCGUAGGCGGACAGUUUAGUCAGAGGUAAAAGCCCAGGGCUCAACCUUGGAACUGCCUUUGAUACUGGCUGUCUUGAGUUCGGGAGAGGUGAGUGGAAUGCCGAGUGUAGAGGUGAAAUUCGUAGAUAUUCGGAAGAACACCAGUGGCGAAGGCGACUGACUGGACAGAUAUUGACGCUGAGGUGCGAAAGCGUGGGGAGCAAACAGG
rnacentral:rRNA from 1 species